rnacentral:tRNA from 1 species
GGGCGAUUAGCCCAGUUGGUAGAGCAGCCGACUCUUAAUCAGCGGGUCGUAGGUUCGAGCCCUACAUCGCCCACCA